rnacentral:lncRNA from 1 species
AUUUCUCUUUCACACCUAUUGGAAGUUGUCACCAGAAAAGGGAUGAAAGAGGAAACAUUUUUAUUGGGGAUUUCAGUUUGAGCAUCGUUUGCAUUGAGGUCUGUUUUUUUUUCUUCUGUUGAUUUAAGGCUGGGUGUGGUAGAUGAUUCAAUGUGUAGGUGAACCAAUGGCAGAGGGCUGAUAUUAGGGGCGUAUGCACCAUAGAACUAAGGUUUAAUCGAAUUCAAUACUUUCAAGACACUUGUGGUGUUAGAGUUGUUCAAGGAAGAAUCAGGUGAUUGAAAGGUUUUGGUUUUUGAGGCUGUCUGAUGUGGUGCUACAUUAGUUGGGAAGGGUAUUUUUUGCGCCAAUUGAUUCACAGUAAGGGCUUUUUUGGGCCAAAAGGUAAAUGGAGGGUGAUAUUGAUCUAUUUCUAACAUCUAACAGUUCAAGGAUAUUUUUUGCCCUUUUUUGUAAAGAAUAUCUCCAAAAAAAAUCUUAAAAAGUACAAAAUAGUGAAUAUUCAAAAGAAUAUUCUUUAUGUUCAUAUCUGAAUCUAUCCUAACGUUACUUCUUCUGCUCGCCCUUAUUAUCUUCCG